UACGGGGGGGGCAAGCGUUGUUCGGAAUUACUGGGCGUAAAGGGCGCGUAGGCGGGCGAUCAAGUCAGAGGUGAAAUCCCACGGCUCAACCGUGGAAGUGCCCCUGAUACUGGUUGUCUCGAGGGAGAUAGGGGCGUGCGGAACUUUUGGUGGAGCGGUGAAAUGCGUAGAUAUCAAAAGGAACACCGGUGGCGAAAGCGGCGCGCUGGAUCCCUACUGACGCUGAGGCGCGAAAGCCAGGGGAGCAAACGGG
rnacentral:rRNA from 1 species